ensembl:lncRNA
CUGGAAAGCAGUGACUCUGGGAAGCUCUGAUGGAUUAUGCAGAUAAUUCACUGGAAGUUGGCUUCAGACAGAGCAAGAAAACCUAACAGCUGAGGAGCGCAUCGGGGUGAAGCAGGGCACGCAGCCUUCCAGAAGCACCUGGUUUGCCACAGGCAUGGUCGGAAGGAUAAAGAGACCCAGCUGGAGCGGCAGAUUGAGACAUGCAGAGAGACACAGAUCCCCCCUCUACCCCCCUCAAAUAAAAAGAGCAUCUCUGGAGAGGUUUGAAUGGAGUGAGAAACAUACUAUUACAAUUAUUACAUCCCCAUUCAACAACAAUUGCGUGGCAUGGUGCCAGCUGGCACCAGAAAGGCAUUGCUGCUUCUCCUUCAUUGCCCGAUACACACCGUGACAAGAAUACAGCCCUUGUUCAGCUGAGAACCUAAGAAUGGGAGAGGAGAAGCCAAAAACACCUCCUUGAACAAUCACCAUCG